UGAGCCUGUCUGGGACAGGGACUGGCAGCCUCAUCCUCCUACCUGCUCUGACUGGCUUCAGACCCCGAAGAACUAAGGCUCCCAACCUCAGAAUGUGGCAGCCUUGCUUCCUCGGGGCCAGCUGAAGCCCCCGGAUUGUACCUUGGAGCCCUAGGGAGAUCCCGGAGGGCAGGGUGGCUUCUGACCCAGGAAGACGAACCCAGCAGCCAACCCAUGUGCUGGGACGGGUAGGUGGCGAAGCCUGGUGCUCCAACCCUGGUCUCCCGCC
ensembl:lncRNA